rnacentral:rRNA from 1 species
AUUGAACGCUGGCGGCAGGCCUAACACAUGCAAGUCGAGCGAGAGGCGGACGGGUGAGAAAUGUCUGGGAAACUGCCUGAUGGAGGGGGAUAACUCCUGGAAACGGUAGCUAAUACCGCAUACCAUCAGAUGUGCCCAGAUGGGAUUAGCUAGUGGGUGGGGUAACGGCUCACCUCGGCGACGAUCCCUAGCUGGGCUGAGAGGAUGACCAGCCACACUGGAACUGAGACACGGUCCAGACUCCUACGGGAGGCAGCAGUGGGGAAUAUUGCACAAUGGGCGCAAGCCUGAUGCAGCCAUGCCGCGUGUGUGAAGAAGGCCUUCGGGUUGUAAAGCACUUUCAGCGGGGAGGCGUUACCCGCAGAAGAAGCACCGGCUAACUCCGUGCCAGCAGCCGCGGUAAUUC